UACGUAGGUGGCAAGCGUUGUCCGGAAUUAUUGGGCGUAAAGCGCGCGCAGGCGGUCCUUUAAGUCUGAUGUGAAAGCCCACGGCUCAACCGUGGAGGGUCAUUGGAAACUGUAGAACUUGAGUACGAGAGAGGUGAGUGGAAUUCCCAGUGUAGAGGUGAAAUUCGUAGAUAUUGGGAAGAACACCGGUGGCGAAGGCGGCUCACUGGCUCGUAACUGACGCUCAGGCGCGAUAGCGUGGGGAUCAAACAGG
rnacentral:rRNA from 1 species